UACGAAGGGGGCGAGCGUUGUUCGGAUUUACUGGGCGUAAAGAGUGCGUAGGUGGUUUAGUAAGUUGGAAGUGAAAGCCCGGGGCUUAACCUCGGAAUAGCUUUCAAAACUACUAAUCUAGAGUGUAGUAGGGGAUGAUGGAAUUCCUAGUGUAGAGGUGAAAUUCUUAGAUAUUAGGAGGAACACCGGUGGCGAAGGCGGUCAUCUGGGCUACAACUGACACUGAUGCACGAAAGCGUGGGGAGCAAACAGG
rnacentral:rRNA from 1 species